UUUCCGUAGGUGAACCUGCGGAAGGAUCAUUCAUAAUUAGUGUUUUAUGGCACUUUUUUAAAUCCAUAUUCACCUUGUGUGCAAUGUCAGGGUUGGUCUCUUUUGAUCAGCCCCAAACAUCAACUAUUAUCUCAACUCUUUGUCUGAAAAAUAUUAUGGAUAAAACAAUUCAAAAUACAACUUUCAACAACGGAUCUCUUGGCUCUC
rnacentral:misc_RNA from 1 species